GCCUCCCAAAGUGCUGGGAGUACAGGCUUGAGCCACCGCGCCCGGCCAGUUAUAGAUUUCUUUGUUCCUUCUCCACUCCCACUGCUUCACUUGACUAGGCUUAA
rnacentral:sRNA from 1 species